GUGCCCUGGCAGGCAGGAGGGCCAACCAUGUCUUGGGGUGCAUCAGACAAAGCAUCCCCAGUAGGUCAAGGGAGGAGAUUGUCCUGCUCUGCUCUGUACUGGGGCGACCUCACCUCGAGUCCUGGGGGCAGUUUUGGUCACCACAAUAUAAGAAAGACACUGAGGAAAGGAGA